rnacentral:tRNA from 2 species
GGGGAUAUAGUUUAGCAGGUAAAACUGUAAAUUUGCACUUUACUAACUUGAGUUCAAUUCUCAAUAUCUCCA